rnacentral:sRNA from 1 species
ACCUACUUCAGAUCCAAGUGCGUCUGC